rnacentral:rRNA from 1 species
AUUGAACGCUGGCGGCAGGCCUAACACAUGCAAGUCGAACGAGUGGCGGACGGGUGAGUAAUGCCCGGGUAACUGCCUGACUGAGGGGGAUAAUAACUGGAAACGGUAGCUAAUACCGCAUACCCUCAGAUGUGCCCAGAUGGGAUUAACUUGGUGGUGUGGUAACGGCUCACCAAGGCGACCAUCCCUAGCUGGGCUGUGAGGAGAACCAGCCACACUGGAACUGAGCGACGAUCCCGACUCAUACGGGAGGCAGCGGUGGAGAAUAGAAGACAGGGCACGAGAGCCUAGUCCGGCCAUGCCAAGUAUGUGAAGAGGUUCUGCGGAUUGUAGAGCACUUUAAGUUGGGUAGCGGUACCAACAGAAUAAGCACCGGCUAACUCCGUGCCAGCAGCCGCGGUAAUAC